GUGCCCACUUCAGCAGCACAUAUGUUAGAACUGGAACAAUACAGAGAAGAUUAGCAUGGUCCCUGCACAAAAAUAACAUGCAAAUUUAUGAAACAUUCUAUAUUUUU